rnacentral:rRNA from 1 species
UACGUAGGUCCCGAGCGUUGUCCGGAUUUAUUGGGCGUAAAGCGAGCGCAGGUGGUUUAUUAAAUCUGGUGUAAAAGGCAGUGGCUCAACCAUUGUAUGCAUUGGAAACUGGUAGACUUAAGUGCAGGAGAGGAGAGUGGAAUUCCAUGUGUAGCGGUGAAAUGCGUAGAUAUAUGGAGGAACACCGGUGGCGAAGGCGGCCAACUGGGCUUUAACUGACGCUGAGGCUCGAAAGUGUGGGGAGCAAACAGG